GACGAACGCUGGCGGCGUGCCUAAUACAUGCAAGUCGAACGAGAGCGACCGGUGCUUGCUCUGGUCAAUCUAGUGGCGAACGGGUGAGUAACACGUGGGUAACCUGCCCAUCAGAGGGGGAUAACAUCCGGAAACGGAUGCUAAAACCGCAUAGGUCUUCGAACCGCAUGGUUUGAAGAGGAAAAGAGGCGCAAGCUUCUGCUGAUGGAUGGACCCGCGGUGCAUUAGCUAGUUGGUGAGGUAACGGCUCACCAAGGCCGUGAUGCAUAGCCGACCUGAGAGGGUGAUCGGCCACAUUGGGACUGAGACACGGCCCAAACUCCUACGGGAGGCAGCAGUAGGGAAUCUUCCGCAAUGGACGCAAGUCUGACGGAGCAACGCCGCGUGAGUGAAGAAGGUUUUCGGAUCGUAAAACUCUGUUGUUAGAGAAGAACAAGUGCUAGAGUAACUGUUAGCGCCUUGACGGUAUCUAACCAGAAAGCCACGGCUAACUACGUG
rnacentral:rRNA from 1 species